CCAGGGCUGCUGGUUCAGCAUUUUCCUUUUCCUAGGCAACGACAGGAAAGAUGAUGAUUUACCACUUCCUCCUGCUGUCAGGCAGGAAAAGGCUCCUCCAUAAGCUUUGAACUGUUGAGAGCUGUGUGGCUGCAGCAGGAGUCACACAAACAGGCUGAAGGAUGGGAAAGACCUGGAUCCUACCCAUGGCACACAUCCCAUCUGCUGCUGAGCCAUCUCAGAAGGUACCACAGGGCUGGAGGGGCACCAGCCCCAUGACUGCUUUGUGGGGCAGAAGAGAUGCCAACAGGAAAACCAGCACUCAGAGAAAUGCUGCUGCAGCAAGGGAGGGAAAACGCUGGGAUUUUUAGUCUAAACCAGAAGAUUUCCUUUAAUUGGGAGCUAUGGAAGAGCUUUUGGUGCUGGGACAGAGCAGGUUUAUCUGCAGGACUCAAGAAAUCAAACAGACAUCUAAACACUUGUUUUGACCUAAUGUGGUGUGAUAGGAGGAGGUCAGAAAUAGGGGCUGUGUUUCCUUCAGCGAGUCCAUUUUGAUGGCAGACCUGAGACCUGAAAACAGCUUUUCAAAAUGGCAAGUGAGGUCCUCUAUGCCAAGGUGUCGCCCAAGGAAAGAGUGAAUUUUACUUCAGAAGCUUCAGAUACAGGUGAUCCAAUCACAUAUGCUGUGGUGAAUAGGAGAUGGAGAUCUGACCCCCCUGACAGCACAUCCGAAAUUACACAUUCAGUGACCUGCUCGGAGGAGUUCCCCUGGUGCUACGUUGUCUUCGCCCUGCUCUUCUGCGCGGUGGUUCUGCUCCUCAUGGUCAUCCUGGUGGCAGUGAAAUGUCACAGCCACUGACCCUCUGCCACGCAGGAUAAGUCAGUACAGGAACGUUCUGCUUCAAUGAAACGGGACAUAGUGCUUGUUUUAUUUUACAUCAUCUUGGCUGAAGAGACAAAAUGAAGACAUGCCAAGAGUCUGAUCACUCUCCAGUUAUGUCAUCCCAGAUGUCUGCUAAACCUCUAACCUCUCCAUACGUGGACAAGACAUAUAUUAAUUUUAUUUGGAAUUUUCUUAAUCCUGUAAUACCAGCAACCAACCAACUAUAUCAGUGCAUGUAUCAAGACAUGGGCUCAAGUUCCUGCAUCAAAAGGUGGAUUUGGGCCUUGCUUAGACAACCAAAAUGACCAGGUGGAGACAUACUUUUAAUUCACAUCUGACUUGAUUCUGCACUGAUUUACAAUACAGAUAAGCUUUUGGAUUAUAUGCAACUGCAAAAACUCAUGGACAAAACAGGGAAUGUGUAAGGUUGCACUGAGCUUUUUUAUAAGGCCUUGGCUUGGACUUGAUUUUUCUUCUUCUGACAGCCUUAGUUGGAUUUGUAUGAAAGGGAUAUUGAAGGUUCAAGAAACUAAAUGUUUAAAUGUAGAGAAGUCUCCUCAUUGUUUCAGCUCCUCGUUGGCUUGAAUAAAAUUAUUCUGUUCCACUUGUCCAGAAGAGCAUCUCCCAAUAUACUGUUUCUGUCUUGGGCCAGUAAUUGAUUUUUUUUUUAAAUAGGGUUUGGUUUUUUUGGGUUUUUUGUUGGUUUUGUGUUUUGUUUUUUUUUUUUGUUUUGUUUUGUUUUGUUUUGUUUUGUUUGUUUGUUUGUUUGUUUUGGUUUGGUUUUUUGGGGUUUUUUUUUGUUUGGUUUGGUUUGGUUUGGUUUGUUUGUUUGUUUGUUUCCCAUAGCUCAAGUUAAAACUGAGUCCUCUACUGGAACUGAGGCACCUGAAGUUCAGAUGCAUUUGUUUGUAAUCAUAACCUUAUUGUCUAUUUUUAUAUUAUCUUUGGAUCUUGUCCAUUGUAACUUCACAGCAGGCUGCAGAGGGUUUGCAGAUCCUAAGUAGGAGGAGUCUGUAUAGCAAAUAUUUCUAGAAUAUUUCUUAUUUCUAAACUUACCUGUACUUUAGCUGUUACUGCUGUUUGGAAUGUACCCCAUCUUUAUAAUAUAUAUAUGCACAGAAGUCAGUAAAGGGGUUCAGUAAAGCACUUUUGCUGGUGUUUGGCUGGUUAGUUUGCCUCCAGUCUUCUGUUAGUCAGACUGGAGGAAAAAUAACAUUUAGUAUUUGUAUGAGUGUCAGUUUUUGUGGGGUAGCCCAUUUAUGGCACACCUAUUUUAUAGAUCUUGCUACUUAUCCUCUUUUUUUUUCAGACUUACCCUUGCCUUCCCCUCUUCACUCUUCAAGAUAAAAAUGUAGCACAUAAAACUCAAAAAGCCAGAAA